UACGACUACAUAUCAGGCAUAUCAAUAAGCGGAGGAAAAGAAACUAACUAGGAUUCCCUUCAGUAACGGCGAGUGAAGCGGGAAGAGCUCAAAUUUGAAAUCUUCAAGGUUUACCUUGACGAAUUGUAGUUUAAAGAAGUGUUUUCUGUUGGAGUUUUGGUAAAAGUUCUUUGGAAUAGGACAUCAUAGAGGGUGAGAAUCCCGUAUUUGACCAUUAUUUCCAGCUUUGUGAUACACUUUCAAAGAGUCGGAUUGUUUGGGAAUGCAGGUCCAAAAUGGGUGGUAAAUUUCAUCUAAAGCUAAAUAUUGGCGAGAGACCGAUAGCGAACAAGUACCGUGAGGGAAAGAUGAAAAGAACUUUGAAAAGAGAGUUAAACAGUACGUGAAAUUGUCAAAAGGUAAGCGUUUGACACCAGUGUUGUUUUCUCGAAAAUCAAUUAAAAAUAGUUGGAUUUUGUGUUGUAUUGACCUUAACAGCUUGCUUCACUCUUUUCCAGCUUUUUUUAAUGCACUUUUCGUUUAACAAGUCAACAUCAGUUUCUUUUGUUAUAAAAGGGUCAUUGGAAGGUGGCUUUCUCUUCGGAGAAAGUGUUUAUAGCCUUUGAUCUCUGCAAUCGGAGAGACUGAGGUCUGCAGCGUAGAUCCUUCGGGGUUAGAUACAUUUGUGCUAAGCUACAGCUUUUCAUAGACAACUUGUUGACUAUGUUUAGUCUUGUGGCUUACCCGCUUAUGCUAUUUUACCUACGCUUAGGAUGUUGAGCGCAUGUCUCUCUCU
rnacentral:rRNA from 1 species